ACGGCCAUACCAUGCUGAAUAUACCGGUUCUCGUUCGAUCAAAGAAGUCAAGUACUUGGGAGGGUGACCACCUGGGAACACCACGUGCCGUUG